rnacentral:rRNA from 1 species
AGUGAACGCUGGCGGUAGGCCUAACACAUGCAAGUCGAACGGCAGCACAGUAAGAGCUUGCUCUUACGGGUGGCGAGUGGCGGACGGGUGAGGAAUACAUCGGAAUCUACUUUUUCGUGGGGGAUAACGUAGGGAAACUUACGCUAAUACCGCAUACGACCUACGGGUGAAAGCAGGGGAUCUUCGUACCUUGCGCGAUUGAAUGAGCCGAUGUCGGAUUAGCUAGUUGGCGGGGUAAAGGCCCACCAAGGCGACGAUCCGUAGCUGGUCUGAGAGGAUGAUCAGACACACUGGAACUGAGACACGGUCCAGACUCCUACGGGAGGCAGCAGUGGGGAAUAUUGGACAAUGGGCGCAAGCCUGAUCCAGCCAUACCGCGUGGGUGAAGAAGGCCUUCGGGUUGUAAAGCCCUUUUGUUGGGAAAGAAAAGCAGCAGGUUAAUACCCCGCUGUUCUGACGGUACCCAAAGAAUAAGCACCGGCUAACUUCGUG